AACCGGACCAAAACUUCCCCCAUCUUUAUGAAACCCAGUCGCGAACACAGAGAAGCUGAAAAGAAAAUCCCAAUAUCAAACCGAAAAGCUUGAAAACACUGUGGAAACUUUACUCUAAGGCGGAUUGAACCACCUUUGAUCCUUCGCCACUUGCUCCAUAACUAAUAUCAGAGCUUCCUCGACCCAAAAGAGGUCUUUGCUACCUGCUGUGGAAUCUUUCGCAAGAAGGUGAGCUGCCAAAUUUCCAGACCGGUGGACAAAUCGAAACGACACAUCUUGCAUAGAUGAAGCCAACCGUUGGCCAUUAGAAACCAAGAUUGUGUGCACAGCGGUUGUUGCUUCAACAGCCAUCGCCGAGAAACUUGCAUCGAAAUUAGUCUUAACUUUUGAAGGUGAAGGGGGGGACCAGUUAACCUCAGUCAUUAAAAAGGAAGGUUGGAGUGCCUGGGAGCCCUCAACGAACUCUUUGCAAUGAGCCCGAAUGAACGAUGCAAGUUGUCUGGUAGGUAUAACUUUACCUUCAUGAUAAAGCUUGUUUCUAGAGGACCAAAGUGUCCAAACUAUUGUUAAAAUCUCACCAUGCUUCUUUACUGGAUAGAUGUUAAAAAACUAAGAUAACCACUCUUUAAUUGUCCAUUGCUGACCAGUCACAGGCUAACUAUAGGCAAGUACCCCCCAGAUUAAUCCUGCAAACCAAUAGUCACGAAUCACAUGCUCGUUUGACUCUACUAGAGUAGUGCACCGAGGGUUAUUAAUUACCCGCUUAUGAAACAAAUUCAUCUUUGUAGGGACAAAGUCACGGGUAAAACGCCACAUUUGAUGCUUUAUUUUCUGAUGACAUUUGUUUUCCCAAAUCUUCUUAUAACUCUCUUGCGACAAAUUUGUCCCACUGUCAAUAUUUAUCAAUAGUUUGUAACCACUUCUCACAGUGAAGACCCCUGACCAUUCCCCACUCCAUACAAGACAAUCUUCCAAAGCCAUCAAUGGAAUAUGAAUAUUAAGGAUUAAAUCGGCCUCACUUUCAACAAAGAUACCUCGAACAAGACCUAUUCCACAACUUGCCAUUUACCUCUAAAAUAUCUGAAACACGUUAUACUAAAACAGAAUGUGGAGAAGUGACCCUACCCUGCGGGAACAUAGGGAGCCAAUAAACAUUCCAAACUGAAACAAAAGUGCUAGAUCCAAUGCUUCAUCGAAUACCUUUUCUAAUAAUCCUCUAGGCCUCCAAAUACUCCUCCAAACAUACGAUGGAUACGAACCCAAUCUAGAAUGCAUAAAAUUUGACGUAGGGAAAUACUUAGCUCAAAAAAUUCUGCUCACCAAAGAUUCAGGAUACAUCAUCAAACACCACCCCUGCUUCGCCAAUAAAGCCACAUUAAACUUGGACAAGUAUCAAAAGCCUAACCCCAUGCCUUCUUUAAAUCACAUAACGCUUUCCAUGUACACCAAUGUAUCCCUUUCAUUUCAACAGUCUUCCUCCACCAGAACCAUGCCAUUAAACCAUCCAGACUGUUAACCAAACUCUUCGGAAGAAGAAAGCAAUUCAUUUCAUAAACGGGAAGUGCAUGGAUCACUGACUUUAUGUAAACUUCCUUUCCCCCGAGAAAUGAAACAAAUACUCUAGGCAUGUAUACGAGAAAAGAAUCUAUCCUUAAAGUAGACAAACGAUUGUCUCUUAUUUUGACUCACCAGUGCCGAUAAUCCUAAAUACUUUUCUGGAUUGGGUGAGCUAUCAACUUCAAGGAUUCAUUUCACAUCAGCCCUAUUUGCAUCAAUAACAUUGGAAAUAAAAAACAGCCCCGAUUUCUCAUAGUUUAUCAGUUGAUCAGUACUUCCAUAGAUACGAAGAAUCUAUUUUAUUUCACUAGCCACCCUCAAAUUAGUCUCUCUAAAAAUUAAAGAGUCAUCCACAAAAAGUAAGUGUGAAAUAACCAGAUUGUACCUGUUAAUGCAGACACCCUGCAUCCUCCCUAAAGUAAGCGAUUGUCGGAUGAGUGCAGAUAAGCCUUCACUAUAAAUCAAGAAGAGAUAAGGACUAAGAGGGUCCCCUUAUCGAAGACCCUGUUUCGGGUAAAACAUAUCCCCCAUGAUACCGUUAACCCCAGCAGCGUAGGAGACUGAGCACACACAUGUCUUCAUAAACUGGAUCUAGUCAAGAUGAAAACCCAUGCGAUUCAUCACCUCCCAAAUAAAAUCCCACUCAGUUCUAUCAUACGCCUUACUCAUAUCAACCUUCAAAGCGAAAAAAACCCCGUUGACCUGUACGCCUUUUAAGUUUGGAGUGAAGAAUUUCAUAUGUAGCCAGAAUAUUAUCAGUAAUAAGGUGGCUUGGUAAAAAUGCACUCUGAACUUCAUCGAUGCAUAAAUGUAACAAAUUCUACAUUCUCAUCAUGAGCACCUUUGAGAGUAUAUUGUAAAGGACAUUGCAAAGACUAAUUAGAGGGAGACUUCACUUUUGGAACAAGAACGACGUGAGUUCGAUUAACCAGCGACAUCACAUUAUGUCCAUGGAGUAAAUCAACACAAUAUCCUGCCACUUCCAAACCAAAAAUGUGCCAAAAAUGCUGAUAAAAAAUAGCCUCCAAACCAUAAGGCCCCGAGGCUUUGAGCGGGCAUAUAGUCUUCACAGCGAAUGUCACCUCUUCAUAAGUGAAAUCUUUCAACAAAGCAGUAUUCAUCUCAGUCGUUAGUCGGAUGAAUUCUCUCCAAAGUUCAAUCAUCAAUUGUGGUAGUCAAAGAAGAGAGCAAGGAAUGAAAAUAGGAUUUAACUUUCUCACCAAUCACCUCAACACCUUCCAACCGAGUAUCAUCAGCCCUGUCAAGAAAUAAUAUUCGAUUUUUAUGUUUUCUCUGAGUAACAUAAUUGUGAAAGAACCUGGUAUUAUU